AAGGUUGAACGUGGUCAUUAGAACUAGGAAGCUUCCUGCACCGAUGUGAUAGAGACCAUCCACGGGGCUGGCAAGUGUCAGGUUAAUAAGGCAGUUGUUGGACAGCACUUUGGAAAUGUUAAAUGUUAAGUACUAAUUCCCUGACAGAGGACAUGGAAGAUGCCAAACUGAUGCUAUACCUUAUUUUGACUGAGAAGAAACUUCAUUUGUCGUUUUAUUUAAUCAUUUAUAUUCAGUAUCUUUGAAUUCCAUUAACCUCUGGGAACAUUGGCAGAAGGAAAAGGAGAUAUACAUAUUUUUAUUUUUUUACUGUUUCUUGUGCCAUUUUUUUUUUUUCUGUGCAGAGAUGUAGUUGUACUAAAGCAGCAGCAUGGUAUUACUCGUAUUCCCCUGCAAGUGGUACACUCUGUACUUGAUGUAGAAUUGCUCCAAGUCACCAGCAGCACAGUCUGAGAAUGGGAGCUUGGCAUUUGUCAUUGGUGAUAACACAUCUCUAACGUGAGGAAAAUUGAGAUCCAAGGUGUAUCUAAAGAAAGAGAGGACUAUUUGAACCAGAAAAUGAAGCAACAUGAGGAGGAUGACAAUGAGGAAUUCAAUAUAUUAAUUUCUUUCUGAUUUUAUAUGAAAGAGAGAAGUGAUGGUCCUGCAGCUAGUGGGAUUUUGCAACCAGGGGCUGUUUUCCUAGCUUUCCCACAGGCUUCCUCAGUGACCUCAGGUGUCCUGGUUGUCUGCUGGUACUGUUAAAAUGGGUGCCUGGGAGGAGAUGUCCCUCUGAGCACUGUCGCCAAGGUUGUCAGAAGACACUGGGAAGCUCACUGAAAAGCACCAUGCAAAAGCAUGUUUGCAAAGACGCCGUAAGAGAUGAAAACUCUGCUCCGGCAAGUGCUGCACAAGCUGGCACCGGGACUCAGCCGCACCCCCAGGGCCGUGUGCCGCUGCGCGACCCCUCGGGACAGCCCCUGUCUGGGACAGCCCGGUCAAAACUGGGACAUACGAUCCCAGGUACCUGCUUCGCUGCUGCUCGGGCCCCUGAACGCUGUGCUUCGCCCUGCGGAGGUGAGAACCCGCUCGAGCAGAGUGAGGGAAAAUGGAUUUGUUAAGAUUUGUGGUAUUUAAGUUGCUGGGUAUUUAAUGUCUGUAACUAUUCAUUUUUGAGACUGUACAUACAUUAUAUAUAUAUAUACACACACAUACUCUACAUACACACACACACAUACAGAUAUAAAUAUGUGUGUAUGUGGAUACACAGGGUUUCAUGAGGCUGUGAGACCCCCCACUAUCCCACUGUCCCCCCCGGACAAGGCCCGCGGGGGGCAGAGGCACUCCUUGGGCUGCCCCCGUUAGAUGUCAGUGGGAACGAAGCUCCCGAUGCGGGGCUGAGGAGCCCAAAUCUCUCCAGAAAUGAGACUCAGGUUUAAAACAUGGGAAGGUGUUGCAGGCCCAGAUCAACCCUUCUCACCCAGGGAAGAGCUGAGAAAGGUUUGCCUUGGCCUGCGCCCCCUUAGCUUUGGGGUCUGCCUGGUCCCCCAGCUGCCCCUCGGCCCUGGGCU
ensembl:lncRNA